ACAGAGGGUGCCUCAGAAGAGGAGAUCAGACUCAGCAAGAUGGUGAUGAAAUUCUGGGCCAACUUUGCUCGCAAUGGAAACCCCAAUGGGGAAGGGCUGCCCCGCUGGCCACAGUACAAUCAGGAGGAAGGGUACCUGCAGAUUGGUGCCAACACCCAGGCGGCCCAGAAGCUGAAGGACAAGGAAGUGGCUUUCUGGACCAAACUCUUUGCCAAGAAGGCAGUGGAGACCCCUCCCCAGACAGAACACAUUGAGCUGUGAAUGGAAGAUCCAGCCAGCCUCGGGGACCUGGAAGAGCAAAAACUGGGGUAUCUUGUGAAAGGGAUUGCAGGUUCAGAAGGCAUCUUACCGUGGCUGGGGAAUUGUCUGGUGGUGGGGGGCAGGGAACAGAGGCCAUGAAGAAGGAAGUUUUGUAUUUGUGACCUCAGCUUUGGGAAUAAAGUAUCUUUUGAAGGCCAAA